rnacentral:hammerhead_ribozyme from 1 species
AUCCAACUGACGAGUCCCGAAAAGGACGAAAUGUGCAUCCUGAAU